rnacentral:lncRNA from 1 species
AAAGUGGCUUUAAACAUCAGAUUACAACCUAUAUUUUUGGACCAAAAUGUCCUUAGAUGUCUAUUUUUUAUUGGGGCUAAGGUUGGACAAGAACUACCCUUGCAGUUAUUUUUUGUCUCUUCAAACAGUGGUGUCGUGAGACCCAUGACUCGAUGUUGUAAUACCAAGGGUAGUAAGCAACUUGGGCUCGUAGGGGUUCUUCAUUGUCGCGACAUCACUUCUCCUGUGUCGUGACACCCAACUUUUGGCUCCACUUCUAGAGAUAUCACGACCUUGGUGCUUUGGUAUCAUGAUUUUGGCUAGGUGUCGCAAGACUAUCGACAAUUUGCUCUAUGUUGAUUGCUUGUUGAAGUUUGGCAUCCUCGAGGUGUCUGUGCUCGGCAUCGCGACUUUCAGAAGAUCAAUGUCGAGACACCCACUUUAAUUGGCCAUUAUUAACGUCCUACAUCCACUCAACAACCUCAUUAGGUCCCCCGGGUCUCAAAAAGGUAUAAAACACAUAAAUACUAUUUAUUAAAGAUGAAAACCAAAACUAAAAUCAAAGUAACAAACGACACUCAAAUUGCUCAAGAAUAAGCUCUUCAAAUAUAGUGAAGAGUCGAAUUUGCUAUAUCAAAUUACGACAAAUCAAUAACUAAACUUAAUUAAGAAGAUUAUAUAAAAUUUAAAGUAUGAUAGAAAUAAUAAAACAAAGUGAAAAUUAUUUAAAUGUUUUGAUUUUAAAUAAAUAAAUAAUUAUUUAAAAUUGUCUUAAUAAUGAUUUACCAACUUCUUUUUUUUUAUAUAAUAAACAUGUGUAAAAGCUUUUUUUAAAAAAAUCAUGUGUAAAAGCUAGAAAGUAUUUUAUCCUAAUUUUCAAUUAAAAUAAAUAAAUAAAUAGUGGAUCAAACUAUUCAGCUAAUGUAACUAUAUGGUCAAGUUUGUUUUGUUUUUCCUUUUAAGCUAUUCAGAUAUUUUCUGUCGUUUCUAUCAACUGUUUAGUUCUAUUUCUUCAAGUUUGGUAUUUAAUGCACCGACCAACUUUGUCAAUCAGAUUUGAGGUGGGUGGAGUGGUGUAACCGGAAGGGUGAAAGCACAAAAAUUUGUAGGAGUCAAAAUUAAAAUUUAAUUUUUACGAUAGUAAAAAUAUAAUUUUAUUAUUUUAAUAAUUUAUAUUUUUGUAAUUUUUAAAAAAUUAAAUUAAAUUUUUAUUAUUUUUAAGGGGGUUAAAGUGUAAUUAUACUUUUAUUAAUUUAAAAUUUUAAAAAAUUUAAAUGAAAUUUUUUUUAUUUUAACGGGUAGGUUACUGCCAGUCCUUGACUAUGGCCCUGUAUAACGAUCACUUCUCUCUAUAUUAAUAUCAUCAGCUGAUUUUUGUUUUAAAAAAGAACCUUGAGAAAAACUCAUGAAAAAAAUAGUGACUCAGCUCAUAAAUAAUAUCAUCAGCUCAUAAACCUUGUGUAACAUAAGUAAAAUAUGUAAAUUCAUAUAAUACUUAUUAUUAUUUUUAUCUUAUUUUAAAAAUUAUUUUCAAAUAAACCCUAAAAUCAAGACACCAUGACAAAAAUUCAAACAAGAAGUUGCAUGAAAUUUGCAGUUCCUGUCUCUUAAAAAAAACGAUAUCUAAAACAUAAAAAUAAAUCUUAAAUUACUAACUUAUUUCAUUAUCUUAAUAAAAAAAUUUAUAAAGGUAAACUACACCCAAGAUCAUUAAACUAUUAAUAAAUUUACAUUUUAAUCGCUUAAUUUUAAAAAGUUACAAAAUGGUCACUAAACUAUUUGAAAGUUUUCAUUUAAGUUUUUUUUUUUAAGUUCGACUAGCGAACUCCAUGCAAUGACUCGACGAUUGGUAUAGUAGAUCAGUAUUCAUCGAUGAGUAGAAUAACAUAUCUUAGAUCCAAGACAAUUUGACGAUCAGUAUCAGAGAUGGAAGAAAAAAACUGAUUAGAUUUUAGUUUGCAGAUUCAUGACAUUCAAAAUUGUUUCAUGAAAAGAAAAACUGAAUCAUUGAAGAGAAGAUGAUGCAAGCGGCGUGAAUAGAGAAAGCCAUACAACAAUGAUUUUAACAGUCUGAUGACUUAAAUAAAAACUUUCAAAUAGUUCAGUAACCAUUUUAUAACGUAAACUUACUAAUAGUUCCGUAACUUUAAUCGUAAUUUACCUUAAAAGAAAGACAUGGGCGAAAAAGAAGUUUGGUUUAGACCAACUGCUCCAGAACCUGCAAGCAUACAUAUGAGAGAAUACUAUUG